rnacentral:tRNA from 1 species
CCUUCGAUAGCUCAGUUGGUAGAGCGGAGGACUGUAGAGACAUAUUUCAGGCAUCCUUAGGUCGCUGGUUCGAAUCCGGCUCGAAGGA